UACCUGCCUAUGAAUUAACUUCCCACAUU
rnacentral:sRNA from 1 species